rnacentral:rRNA from 1 species
GAUGAACGCUGGCGGCGUGCCUAAUACAUGCAAGUCGAGCGAACAGAUAAGGAGCUUGCUCCCUUGACGUUAGCGGCGGACGGGUGAGUAACACGUGGGUAACCUACCUAUAAGACUGGAAUAACUCCGGGAAACCGGUGCUAAUGCCGGCUAACAUUUAGAACCGCAUGGUUCUAAAGUGAAAGAUGUUUUUGCUAUCACUUAUAGAUGGACCCGCGCCGUAUUAGCUAGUUGGUAAGGUAACGGCUUACCAAGGCAACGAUACGUAGCCGACCUGAGAGGGUGACCGGCCGCACUGGAACUGAGACACGGUCCAGACUCCUACGGGAGGCAGCAGUAGGGAAUCUUCCGCAAUGGGCGAAAGCCUGACGGAGCAACGCCGCGUGAGUGAUGAAGGUCUUCGGAUCGUAAAACUCUGUUAUUAGGGAAGAACAAAUGUGUAAGUAACUGUGCACGUCUUGACGGUACCUAAUCAGAAAGCCACGGCUAACUACGUG